ensembl:lncRNA
GCUAGGCGCAAAGAGUUCACCGUUCAAAGCGGGAUGUUUAUUGCGGGGGAGGAGCCGUUGCGGCAGUCGCAAUCGUAAUUUCCGGUUCAGGCCCUAGUCUGGUAGGCAGGUACUGGAUAGGAGGCUAGGUUUACAGUGGAGACCAGAACCCCAGAUCCAUCAUGUUCAGACAGAGACCCCAGUGAAGGCAUUGGGGGCGACCAGAAACAGAAAUACUCCAGAUUGUGAAGUCCUCAGCUCCUGUGGGAGGCUGUUCCAGAGGCGAGGACCAUUGACACUUAAAGCCGCCUCCCCGUAGGUCCCUGUCCUCACCCGGGAAACAACUGAAAUGCCUGUGCCAGAGGACCCUAAGGAUCUAGAGGGGGAAUACACUAAAAUAAUGUAGUGUAUGCUGUAGUGGGGUUUGAAAUGAACAACCGGGUUAGUAAAUGGUGAGAAGCAGAAAGAAUGAAGGCAAGUGAGCGGAUAGAGCAGAGCUGAAGUCGGCUGCCACAUCAGCCAGCCUGGCCCCUACAAUGUAGGAAUUCCCAGGAUGGCAUCAAAAUCUGCCAACGGCAGAGGCAACCAAUGACCAUGAUUGCAGACAUGUUAACAUGCCAUGCGCCCAUCGCCUACACUGGAUGUGUAGGCGUUUACCUACAAGGAGAAAUGUAACAUGUCAGUGCAGAACAUCUAUUAAUAUUAUAAGAAAAACCA